AUUGAACGCUGGCGGCAUGCCUUACACAUGCAAGUCGAACGGUAACAGGCCGCAAGGUGCUGACGAGUGGCGAACGGGUGAGUAAUGUAUCGGAACGUGCCCAGUCGUGGGGGAUAACUGCUCGAAAGAGCAGCUAAUACCGCAUACGACCUGAGGGUGAAAGCGGGGGACCGUAAGGCCUCGCGCGAUUGGAGCGGCCGAUAUCAGAUUAGGUAGUUGGUGAGGUAAAGGCUCACCAAGCCGACGAUCUGUAGCUGGUCUGAGAGGACGACCAGCCACACUGGGACUGAGACACGGCCCAGACUCCUACGGGAGGCAGCAGUGGGGAAUUUUGGACAAUGGACGCAAGUCUGAUCCAGCCAUGCCGCGUGCGGGAAGAAGGGCCCUUCGGGUUGUAACCG
rnacentral:rRNA from 1 species